AUUGAACGCUGGCGGCAUGCCUUACACAUGCAAGUCGAACGGUAACGGGUCCUUCGGGAUGCCGACGAGUGGCGAACGGGUGAGUAAUAUAUCGGAACGUGCCCAGUAGUGGGGGAUAACUGCUCGAAAGAGCAGCUAAUACCGCAUACGACCUGAGGGUGAAAGGGGGGGAUCGCAAGACCUCUCGCUAUUGGAGCGGCCGAAAUCAGAUUAGCUAGUUGAUGGGGUAAAGGCCUACCAAGGCAACGAUCUGUAGUUGGUCUGAGAGGACGACCAGCCACACUGGGACUGAGACACGGCCCAGACUCCUACGGGAGGCAGCAGUGGGGAAUUUUGGACAAUGGGCGCAAGCCUGAUCCAGCGAUGCCGCGUGCAGGAAGAAGGCCUUCGGGUUGUAAACUGCUUUUGUCAGGGAAGAAAUCUUCUGGGCUAAUACCCCGGGAGGAUGACGGUACCUGAAGAAUAAGCACCGGCUAACCACGUGCCAGCCGCCGCCGUAA
rnacentral:rRNA from 1 species